GGACUACACGGGUAUCUAAUCCUGUUUGCUCCCCACGCUUUCGCGCCUCAGUGUCAGUAUCUGUCCAGGUAGCCGCCUUCGCCACUGAUGUUCCUUCCGAUCUCUACGCAUUUCACCGCUACACCGGAAAUUCCACUACCCUCUACAGUACUCUAGUUAACCAGUUUAAGAUGACCUUCCCAGGUUAAGCCCGGGGAUUUCACAUCUCACUUAAUCUUCCACCUACGCGCCCUUUACGCCCAGUCAUUCCGAUUAACGCUCGCACCCUCUGUAUUACCGCGGCGGCUGGCAC
rnacentral:rRNA from 2 species